UAAUACAGAGACUGCAAGCGUUAUUCGGAUUCACUGGGCGUAAAGGGUGCGCAGGCGGCCGGGUGUGUCAGAUGUGAAAUCCCGAGGCUUAACCUCGGAACUGCGUCUGAAACUACUCGGCUAGAGUAUUGGAGAGGGUAACGGAAUUCACGGUGUAGCAGUGAAAUGCGUAGAUAUCGUGAGGAACACCAGAGGCGAAGGCGGUUACCUGGACAAUUACUGACGCUCAGGCACGAAAGCAUGGGGAGCAAAAGGG
rnacentral:rRNA from 1 species